rnacentral:lncRNA from 1 species
AGCUCUAACUACCAGUAUUCAGGAUAAGUGGGUGAUAGAAGGGUAAGAUAAAUGACAUCACUGGAAGCAAUGAUUCAAAUUUAGGACAAUUAAUAGUGUGGUAUUUCUGAACAACAAUUUUAUCAACUGUACCAUGAUCAUCAAAAGUUACAAAAGCAAAUCCUCUCUUUUUUCCACUCUGCCGGUCUUACGUAACUUCUAUGGUUUCAAUUUUGCCAUACUUUUCAAAGUAGUCUCUCAAAUUAUAUUCUUCUGUAUCUUCUUUAAUACCACCAACAAAAAUUUUCUUCGCUGUUAGAUGGGCACCAGGCUUUACAGAAUCCUCUCUAGAAACAGCUCUCUUUGGUUCCACUACAUGCCCAUCAACCUUGUGUGGUCGGGGACACAUUGCUGCAUCCACCUCUUCAACACAAGAUAAGUCACAAAACCAAAACCCCUGGAACGUUUUGUUUGGGGGUCUCUCAUUACCACACAAUCUGUAAGUGUGCCCCAUUUUUCAAAAUGUUCUCUUAAACUAUCAUCCAUAGUUUCAAAGCUCAAACCACCAAUAAACAGUUUUCUCAACUGCUUGGGUUCCUUUGGAUCAUGACCUUCCAUUUUGACACCGGACUCACCUCUUCCAACUCGAGUUCAAUAUCAUGAUACAGUUGAUAAAAUUGUUGUUCAGAAAUAUCACACUAUUAAUGGGCAUAAUUGUGAAGUGAAAAAGGCCCUUUCUAAACAAGAGAUGCAGUCUGCUGGAUCGCAAAGAGGUCGUGGAGGUGGAUCUGGCAACUUCGUGGGUCAUGGAGGAAACUUUGGAGGUGGUGGUAAUUUUGGCCAUGGUGGAAACUUUGGUGGAAGAGGAGGCUAUGGUGGUGGAGGUGGUGGCAGCAGAGGUAGUUAUGGAGGAGGUGAUGGUGGAUAUAAUGGAUUUGGAGGUGAUGAUGGCAACUAUGGUGCUGGUCCUGGUUAUAGUAGUAGAGGAGGCUAUGGUGGUGGGAACUAUAAUGAUUUUGGAAAUAAUUAUAAUGGACAACAGCAAUCAAAUUAUGGACCCAUGAAGGGGGGCAGUUUUGGUGGAAGAAGCUCGGGCAGUCCUUAUGGUGGUGGUUAUGGAUCUGGUGGUGGAAGUGGUGGAUAUGGUAGAAGGUUCUAAAAAAUUUUCAGAAGAAAAGGGCUACAUUUCUCAGCAGGAGAGAGAGCGAGGAGUUGUCGGGAAAGCUGCAGGUUACUUUGAGACAGUCGUCCCAAAUGCAUUAGAGGAACUGUAAAAAUCUGCCACAGGAGGAAUGAUGAUCCAUAGUCAGAAAAGUUACUGCAGCUGAAACAGGAACCCCUUCUUGUUCAGGACUGUCAUAGCCACAGUUUGCAAAAAGUGCAGCUAUUGAUUAAUGCAAUGUAGUGUCAAUUAGAUGUACAUUCCUGAGGUCUUUUAUCUGUUGUAGCUUUGUCUUUUUCUUUUUCUUUUCAUUACAUCAGGUAUAUUGCCCUGUAAAUUGUGGUAGUGAUACCAGGAAUAAAAAAUUAAGGAAUUUUUAACUUUUCA